CGGCACAGCCCCGCGGAGAGGCUGCUCCCCACCCCGCGACCGCAGCCAGGGAAACCUUGGUGUAACACACUCUUGGCACAGCCAGCUCUGGUGUUGCAAGUUUGGAUUUCAUGUAAAAAUAAAUGCAAGUUUUAUCCCUUCUGACGGCAGGGGACAGAAGUGUAGCUCCCAUCCCCAAAUCUUUAGCUCUGAUAGUUCGGAAAACAUAGAGGACGCAUUCUUACUUAGCUCUCCCCACCUCCAAACUGUUAAAGGUUAAGGGAAGGUUAAGAUUAGGUCUUAAAAAGUACCUCUGGCACUUUUGUGCUGCUGACUUUUGAGUGCCUAGAGCUGACAGUACGGACCAGCUGUUGUACAAAGGAGUAAAUGCCUCCUUUCACACCAUCCCAGACACAGAACUACAGAGGAAAAAGCCAAAAAUGCUUUGAAACGUAAUUAUUAAAAAUGCUUUGUAGAGAAAAACUUCUACAUCUUGUUCAAGUCCCCAGUUAUGGUGUGACAGGCAUUUGAAGCCCUGGUGACUAAGAAGGUGAUGAAGAAGGUUUCCCUUUUGGACAAUUUGUUGCAAUGCUGCCAUCUUUGUGAACCUAUAGAUCAUCAAGUUUCGUAUCAAGAGGCAAACUUUUUGAAAAUGAUCCAAGGUGCUGCAAUUUCAAUUUUGUGUGCUCUGACAAGGAACGACAAAAUUUUUUCUCUUCUCACACUCAACUGCAGAGGCAUCCUCAUAAGAAUCAGAGUACAUACUGGAUUCUGAUCAUUACACUGGAGUUAGAAUGAAAAAAUUCACUGAAAUAAGCUUUAGCUGGGAUUUCUGGAAAAGACUGAUCAUCAGGACAGUUGAGCUGGACUUGUGAAGUAUGCACAUCUUUCAGAAUGUAUUUGGCCAAUAGGAUUCCACUGUCUCCUGCCAAAGCUUUGGCUUUCAGCCAAAUUAGUUUUGUUGUAUUUAUACAGAAUGGACACAGGCCACAAAAGAUAAAAAGGUGCAAAAAGCUGAAAUUAUUUUUAUCAAAAUAUGAAACAUAUGAGAUGGAAAGGAGAAUUGUGGGGUGCAUCUACUGCUUCUUUCUGAACUUCUUUAUUUGUAUAAUUUCUAAACCUAAAAUUGAUGCUCAAGCAAUUGGAUUUGACUAGGUAUGGUUCUCUGGUUACUACUUCACAUCCAGCAAUCAGGAUAUGAUCCUGUAUGAUGCUGAGUGGUUUUGCCUUUAUUCCCCAUAGCAAGCGAGUCAUUGUUUCAUCUUUACCCUGGUAGCAAUAUCUAAUUUUAUUGAGUACUUUUGUAGGCUAAGUUAGAAAAACUUCAGAAUAGCCAGCAGGACCAUCUACAUGCUUAGGAAAUUACCAACUCAAUAUUUGUACGUGCUCAAGAAAACUCUAAUGGGACAAUAAAGCACUUGCUUCUGAACCAAAUGGUGUCUUUAAAAGGAAAUUGCUUUUGCAAUUGUGAAGUUGCUCAUUUGGAAUGCACUACAUACAGACAUCUCUUGUUACCUGCCUCUUGCCAGGGGACUCCUGUGACACACUGACACAUUUACACAUUGAUCUGAGGGAAAAGAAAAACUUCAUGUCAUUUCAAUAAACCAAUACAAUUCAGCUCAUGCUAACAUGAAAUAAAAUCUAUUGUGCUUCUGGUUUUAUGGGUUGUAAGUUUUUUAAUGGGAAAAAAAUGUCUGUGUAAAAUUUGUUUCUGUUGAUCAUAAAUACUUUUGAAAAAUGCCGUCUUGAUCAUCCAUGUUCACUUUCUGUUGCACUUUUGAUGUUCUUUAUUUGGAAUUUAGAAAGAUGCCUUUAGUGAGUUGGUCUUUUGAGAAUGUAGUUAUCACAGGGUAUU